UUCCAAAAAUGGUUUGGAUACCAUGGUACCUUUACAAGAAGGGGUAAUUCUUGUUAAAGCCAAAUAUAAAACGAAUCUGACGCAAUCUGAUCUAAUAAGAGUCAACAGAAUGUAGAAGAAAAAGAAUCUACCGAAAAAGCAAAUGAAGUGAAAGGAAUUGAUUUAUUCUUGGUAGGCUGAGGGUCUGGGGACGGACCUAACAUUGAUUAAUCAAAGAGAAAAAAAGAGACGUUUACCAUUCCCUUUCACGAAUGUCCGUCAGUUUGAGAGCUACAUCACCCGCACCUGGAAUCCUCAGAAUAGCCUCCAGACUUUAGUGGCACCUAAAGUGAUCACCAAAAGGGGAAAAAAUUGAACCUAUUGACUGUGACGAUAUUGUUUUGAAGAAAAAAAAAGCAGUUAUACACAACACAAAGAAAGAGAAGAAGGCCGGCAACGAUGCUGUAAAGGCCUUCUGAUAAAUACUAUAUAUUUUAUUUAUUUUUGUAAGCAAUAAAUGCUAAUUUUAUUUGGAUUUUUAUUUAUUGAAAAAGAGCGACAUUGAUUGGUGAUUACAAGUUUGAAACAGUUAUAAUUUCGAUAACGUUAGAUUUGCAAUACUGCCAACUCUACUGGAUUUUGCAAGUUUU